rnacentral:rRNA from 1 species
UACGUAGGAGGCGAGCGUUGUCCGGAGUUACUGGGCGUAAAGGGUGCGCAGGCGGUGGCCCGCGUGGGCGGUGAAAGCUCCUGGCUCAACUGGGAGAGGGCCGUCCAGACGGGGUCGACUUGAGGGGCGGAGAGGGGCGUGGAAUUCCGGGUGGAGCGGUGAAAUGCGUAGAGAUCCGGAGGAACACCGACGGCGAAGGCAGCACCCUGGCCGCCAGUCUGACGCUCAGGCACGAAAGCUGGGGAGCGAACAGG